rnacentral:rRNA from 1 species
CAGUCGCCACGGUAAUACGGAGGGUGCAAGCGUUAAUCGGAAUUACUGGGCGUAAAGCGUGCGUAGGCGGUUCGUUAAGUCUGAUGUGAAAGCCCACGGCUCAACCGUGGAGGGUCAUUGGAAACUGGAAAACUUGAGUGCAGAAGAGGAAAGUGGAAUUCCAUGUGUAGCGGUGAAAUGCGCAGAGAUAUGGAGGAACACCAGUGGCGGAGGCGACUUUCUGGUCUGUAACCGACGCUGAUGUGCGAAAGCGUGGGGAUCAAACAGGAUUAGAUACCCCGGUAGUCCCUGUCUCUUAUAA